rnacentral:rRNA from 1 species
CCUACGGGAGACAGCAGUGAGGAAUAUUGGUCAAUGGCCGGGAGGCUGAACCAGCCAAGUCGCGUGAGGGAAGACGGCCCUACGGGUUGUAAACCUCUUUUGUCAGGGAGCAAGGUGCAGGUCGGGAGCUGCUGUGAGAGUACCUGAAGAAAAAGCAUCGGCGAACUCCGUGCCAGCAGCCGCGGUAAUACGGAGGAUGCGAGCGUUAUCCGGAUUAAUGUGGUUUAAAGGGUGCGCAGGCGGAGGCACAAGUCAGCGGUAAAAUCGCGGGGCUCAAGCCCGCUCCGCCGUUGAAACUGUGGCCCUUGAGUGCGCGAAGGGUAGGCGGAAUGCGUGGUGUAGCGGUGAAAUGCAUAGAUAUCACGCAGAACUCCGAUCGCGAAGGCAGCCUACCGGCGCGCAACUGACGCUCAUGCACGAAAGCGUGGGUAUCGAACAGUAUUAGAUACCCCAGUAGUC